rnacentral:lncRNA from 1 species
ACUUGGGUAUAUUUUUGUCCACAAUGAAAAAAACAAGAAAAGCUUACGGCAUAAAGACGAAUGAGGAAUUUCUUUAUUUGUUCGCAUUUAACAUGUCUUUGGCACGUCUUUAAUUAAUACAAUUCUUGUACAUUAGUCACCCAGGAAACGGAUUUGUUCACCAAAAAUUGUAUUGAUAUAUUUUUUCCAAUGUAUUCAAAUUAGUCAAGUGAUUGAAGCUUCAAAACAAAAUAAACGCCCUGUAUAAUCAUAACAAAAAGCAAGCGUAUAACUGCAACACAAGUUUCUUCUGAGAACGAGACACUCUUACGUUCAACGAGAAAUUAUUCAAGACCACUUGCUGCGUAGGCUGGAAAACGGAUUUUCUGACCUCCGGCCGGCUGGGAGUAGCACAGCACUAUGCUCAUAGUGGAAUCAAUAGCAGUUGCUACCUUCUUGAUGAUCGGUGUGUUUGGUGCGACUCUUGCAGUGUCCCAUUGUGCCAACAGAGGGCCAAUGGCCAGGACUCCAACAAGAACUGUAAACUUGAAAAGAACGACAGAAAGCGAGGAACGUGACCCUAGCUUGAUUAAAAUGAAGCGUGUUUGACUAGUCAAGCUGUCGAAUUACUCAGUGAAUUUUACAACGAAUGUACACUCUGAAAAUUAUCAUUUUGAGCUGUAAAAAUAAUCUAAGACAAAAGCUUUGUAACUACCUUAAACUGCGCUCUUCGAAUUUAAGGUAAUGUGAAAGUUCAUAAUAAACUACGAUAACUUCAGUUGUAUAACUUCAGGGCUUGAGAGAAGGAGAAAAUUCACCGAUUAUUUUACGCGCAUCACAGGCUUUGGGGGCAAAAACAGCUCUGAAGUGGACAAAACAUCGUCUUAUUGGAUUUCUCAUUUCCAAGAUUGGUUUUGCUUGUAGGAGCAUGAGCUGGUAUUAUAAGUUGGACAAAGUGUACGAUAUCUCAGUACUAUUAAUUUUCAACUGAAGGUCUUAGCGCAAUGACAUAUUCCCUCAUUCAUGAAUGACAACCUACCACCAAUAAAAUGAACUGAUUUUGUUCUUUUUUUAGUUA